rnacentral:hammerhead_ribozyme from 1 species
AUCCAACCAACGAGUCCCAAAUAAAGCGAAACGCAUGUCCUGGAU